UGGGGGAUAUUGCACAAUGGGCGCAAGCCUGAUGCAGCGACGCCGCGUGGGGGAUGAAGGCCUUCGGGUUGUAAACUUCUUUUGCUCUGAACAAGGCGCACUUUGGGGUGUGUUGAGUGUAGGGGUUGAUUAGCGCCGGCUAACUACGUGCCAGCAGCCGCGGUAAUACGUAGGGCGCGAGCGUUGUCCGGAAUUAUUGGGCGUAAAGGGCUUGUAGGUGGCUGGUUGCGUCUGUCGUGAAAGCUCAUGGCUUAACUGUGGGUUUGCGGUGGGUACGGGGUAGCUUGAGUGCAGUAGGGGAGGCUGGAAUUCCUGGUGUAGCGGUGGAAUGCGCAGAUAUCAGGAGGAAUACCGGUGGCGAAGGCGGGUCUCUGGGCUGUUACUGACACUGAGGAGCGAUAGCAUGGGGAGCGAGCAGG
rnacentral:rRNA from 1 species